AAAAACUCAUGCCCAAAGCAAAACAAAUCAACUCAGGCCUAAAAUAAAACCACAAAGAAAUAAAAGGAAACUAAAAAGAAACAGACAUAAUAAUAAUUAACAUUAAUUGCCUACUCCCUUGAGAAUCGGGUUGUCCGUCACACCCAAGAUCUCCAACAACUUUUCCCAUACGGUUCCCAUUUCCCCUUAUCACAAAAUUCUUCUUCUACCUUAUUCUCUAACUCUACUAGAUCCACCAUGUUUUCUCAUGAAACUUAUCUCCUCGAGGAAGAAACCUGUUUUAUCCGUGGAUUUUCCGAAUUAGUCAGGUUCUAUAAUGAAUUCAUUGACCUAAAUCGCUUCCACGAAACUCGGUGCUACACCCAGAAGGUAAAACUCAUCAUCCCUCUUUAGGUUUUUUGUAGCUAAUCGAUAUGCUAAUUUAUUUGUAUUCCGAUAAGAGUGCUGAAACUAGAUUUUGCUAAACUUGCUCACUAACAUCUUAACAUCUUUGAUAAAUGGGCUUAUAAUUGAUCUGUCGUUAAGGACUGAUGUGCAUUUUUUUAUGACUGUGAGGGAAUCCCACUCUACAAUAACCUUUCUCAAACCUAACCCUUUGAACACUCUUACUACAUCCGAACAUGCAAGAGCCUCUACGGCAAAUGCAAAGAUGACAUUCGUAUGCAACACCAUUGUAGAGGCUAAAACCUGACCUAUUGAACUUCGGAUGACCACCCCAGAGCCAGAUCUGGAGUUUUCCUAAUCGAAGGGCGCAUCAAAAUUGGCUGUAUACACCUCUGAUGGUGGUGGAACCCAACCCUCUGCCCUUCAAAUACUGAAUUGCACAGGGUGAGAAUUGGCUUGGCAGACACUACCAGAAGCGCAAAACCAAGAAGUGAUUUUUGAGGCAUCGAGACGAAUGAAUUUUUUAGCUGAAGACGGUCCAAAUUAUGUGUAUUAGUUCAUAACAUAAUUAAUUUAAAUUUUAAUCCAAUUUAAUUUGGGUUAAAUAAAUUAUUAUUAAUUAAUUAUGAAAAGUGGCCCAGUUGAGUCGAACCGAGUGAACCGAACUGACUAAGAAGUGGAUAGCCCAAAACCAUCCAUAUGAUGACCCAAAUUAGCUUAUUGGCUAAUUAUUUAGCUUUCAAAGAGGCCCUUGAAGACUUGUUCAAGUUGCAAACAAACUCCUCUAUAAUUGGUGGCUUUAUAGAUUUGCCCCAAGCCUAAAUUAGCAAAGUUGAAACCAUCAACCUUGCCACAUGUGUGGCCAGCCAAGGGAGGGCUCUUUGGCUGAUAAUUUUAGCUAUUUUUAGCAACACUCUUCAGCUAUAAAAACCCCCUUAGGCUGGUCAUUUGAAACACAUCUCAUUCAUUCAUAUCUUUUCUCUCUUCUUUUUCAUUCCAAAUUCCCUUGCUCUCUUGCCGACUUCUCCUCUUGGAAAAGGGGCAUUCAUCAGCCAUUUGGAGCAGCAAUUAAGUGUUCAUAGCAGCCUUGUUCGACAGGACAAUGGAGAAGAAAGAACGGAGCAAACUAGUCAAGCCACGGAAAAACACCGGAUUUGAUUCUUGUUCCCUAUCUCUUUAAUUUUUGUUGUUGUUAUGAUGAACAUAUCUAUGAAUAUUUAUGUUGUUGGAAUGGUUAACUUAAUCAAUUUAGCUUGAAUUUAAUUUGUGUUA